GACGAACGCUGGCGGCGUGCCUAAUACAUGCAAGUAGAACGCUGAAGGAGGAGCUUGCUUCUCUGGAUGAGUUGCGAACGGGUGAGUAACGCGUAGGUAACCUGCCUGGUAGCGGGGGAUAACUAUUGGAAACGAUAGCUAAUACCGCAUAAUAGCAGUUGUUGCAUGACAACUGUUUGAAAGGUGCAAUUGCACCACUACCAGAUGGACCUGCGUUGUAUUAGCUAGUUGGUGGGGUAACGGCUCACCAAGGCGACGAUUCAUAGCCGACCUGAGAGGGUGAUCGGCCACACUGGGACUGAGACACGGCCCAGACUCCUACGGGAGGCAGCAGUAGGGAAUCUUCGGCAAUGGACGGAAGUCUGACCGAGCAACGCCGCGUGAGUGAAGAAGGUUUUCGGAUCGUAAAGCUCUGUUGUAAGAGAAGAACGAGUGUGAGAGUGGAAAGUUCACACUGUGACGGUAUCUUACCAGAAAGGGACGGCUAACUACGU
rnacentral:rRNA from 1 species